CACGUCAGUAGGGCAGAACAGCACCGGGCUACGAGGAAGUGAGCUGGAACCCCGUAUCAAGAAUGUGGUCACAAGAGGACCAGGGACAAUACCUGGCUGUGGAGCCAAGUGGCCACUUGCAAAGACACCAGAGGCUCACAGAGGGGCAGUUCACAGGUCAUCAGAUAGAGAAAAAUCACACACGGAGAAGAGUGUACCUGAGGUGCACAUCUGAGUGGCCUAUGUGCACCUGGACCUGAUUUAGAUGAUGAGAUCCUGGUCCUUGAACCUGAUGCUGUAAAGGUGAGAAAAGGAGGACUCAGAGACUCACUCAAAGAAGUGUUCCCAAAGUCACACAGGUGGUGACAAGUGGAGAUGAGACCUAAGUGUGUCUGGCUUUAAAGCCUGUGCUCUAGCCACAAAGAGGAACCAAAGGCCUGCGGGUAAACUGGAAGGCCUACGUGUAACUGAAGGAGUAAGAGAAAGAAAAAGCCUGAGACAAAUGCUAAGGACAUCAAGUACAGGAUAGGAUGAGAAUGACUGCUUUCAAGAAGGUUGGAAAGAGAACUUUGGUGACUAUGUUCAAGACCUCCUGAGGAAGCAGAGCAGAGCUUGGAGUUGGUGACACUGAAGCGACAGCAUACCUUAUGGAAAAUCCUGAUGGGAGCCAUCUCUGCUCCAUUUAGUGUCUUCAAAAGGAACAUGGGCCAAGAGGAAGCAUUCAAUCGAAAUCCUACAGCAAAUAUAAUGGGC